rnacentral:rRNA from 1 species
ACGUGGGUAACCUGCCUGUAAGACUGGGAUAACUCCGGGAAACCGGGGCUAAUACCGGAUGGUUGUUUGAACCGCAUGGUUCAAACAUAAAAGGUGGCUUCGGCUACCACUUACAGAUGGACCCGCGGCGCAUUAGCUAGUUGGUGAGGUAACGGCUCACCAAGGCAACGAUGCGUAGCCGACCUGAGAGGGUGAUCGGCCACACUGGGACUGAGACACGGCCCAGACUCCUACGGGAGGCAGCAGUAGGGAAUCUUCCGCAAUGGACGAAAGUCUGACGGAGCAACGCCGCGUGAGUGAUGAAGGUUUUCGGAUCGUAAAGCUCUGUUGUUAGGGAAGAACAAGUACCGUUCGAAUAGGGCGGUACCUUGACGGUACCUAACCAGAAAGCCACGGCUAACUACGUGCCAGCAGCCGCGGUAAUACGUAGGUGGCAAGCGUUGUCCGGAAUUAUUGGGCGUAAAGGGCUCGCAGGCGGUUUCUUAAGUCUGAUGUGAAAGCCCCCG